UACGGGGGGAGCAAGCGUUGUUCGGAUUUACUGGGCGUAAAGGGCGCGUAGGCGGCGCAACAAGUCACUUGUGAAAUCUCCGGGCUUAACCCGGAGCGGCCAAGUGAUACUGUCGUGCUAGAGUGCGGAAGGGGCUACUGGAAUUCUCGGUGUAGCGGUGAAAUGCGUAGAUAUCGAGAGGAACACCUGCGGCGAAGGCGGGUUGCUGGGCUGAUACUGACGCUGAGGCGCGAAAGCCAGGGGAGCGAACGGG
rnacentral:rRNA from 1 species